UAAGAAAGAGAAAACAUAUUGAUUCUUAUUCAUUAUUUCUUCUAAAACCAUGUGAAGAAAAUUCCAUAACAUCCACGAGUACUCUGUUUCACUACAAAUUCAUUGAGGACAGUACUGCAUGGCUAAACAUGUAAAGAUUAGCAUUUAUUGUUCCAUUAGCAUUUGGUUUAUGCAAAGCCAGGCCUCAGCUAAAUCAGUAAACACACCGAUACAGGAAAUGGUUGAAGGUGAAUUUCAUCAGUUGGUAUCCUAUGAUGCUUGUGUGGGCAAAUUCCACCUUUAAGCUCAAGGUAGUUUGAUGUUUUGUUUGGAUGUUUAAAUUAUUACUUGCAAUUGCCUAUUCUUGUAAUACCUUAUUCUUUGAUGAGGAAAAAGAGGUUGGGUGGGAAAAGGCAGGAGCCAGCUGAGCAACAAAUAAUUUUUUAGCCCAUCUUCCCUAUGACCACUAAAAAAAAAAAAAAAAAGCUUUGCAAAAUAGUAUUCAAGCUAAGAUUCUCUGAAAUCAACUCCUGGCUUUCAUCUUGAUGAACUGUUGGUAAUUAUAGAGUUUAAAAUUACUAUAACUAUGAAAAUGCCUUUCUUUCUAGCUUAAUAUGUAGGUAGAUAUACAAAUAAAAUGAAACAUGGUAAAAAGAAGUGACUAGUAAUAAUUUCAUUAUUUUAUCUUAAGAUGUUCAAUUCAUUGGUGUGGAAGCACUGUGAAAGAGAUUAAAAGUAAAUUUCAACUUUAGAAUAAUUUUAUCAUUGGUUUCUUUUUUAAAAAAAGUUAGUGGACCUUUGCAUCUUAUUUUCUGGCAAAAUGAGUUGAUAAUGCCACCAAGUACUAAUUCAUGAAGCUACAUUUUUCUAAUUUAUGCCAUCUAUCAAAGCUUCAGUGUCAUAUAAACACAAAGAAAAAAAGCAAAGUACUCAUUUUUGAAGAAUUAAAAUAAAAGCAUUUGAAUCAUCUAAAAACAAAAACUUAAGAAUUUCCAUUUUUAUGAAAUGAAGAUGAUUAGUUUUCAGUAUCUCCCAGAAAAGCAGCAACGUAUCCAAUUUUUAAUUCCCCUAUUAAUUUAAAAAUAAAUAUAUGAUUAGAAUAUAACAUUUGCAAACUCUCUGGUCAUAAUACCAAUUAGCCUGCUUGUACUCUGAAUGUUAAAUAGUGUCGAUAGAUGUCAGCUAAGAAAAAAGCUUAAGCAAAACCAUGUUAAUAGAGACAACUUUGGCUUGUGAAUAUUUUUUGAAAAGCCCUUUGUUAUAAAGACGCAAGCUCCCUUCCAAAAUGAACAUAAGUAUACCAAGGUCUAUAGCACAAAUACAUGAUAUCCCAUUAAAAACAGUAUGGGAACAUAAGCAAGGGUAUAUUUUUUAUUAAUAUCCAGUAUCUCUUUAAUAUUUUAAAAUAAAUCAUUCACAAAAAGCACAGCCUUCUCCCUCCCUCUCACCCUCCCUCAUCUCUACUUUUUUUUUUUUUCCUGAGAGAGCAAUAAAAUACUGAGUGAACUCUGGGGAGGUGAAGAAACUAUAUUCAAAAGGCUUUUUAAAAAAAUCCAAAUUCUUCAUGUAUAUUACAUAGAAAAAAAAAACAGAAAAAAAUCGUUUAAUGUAUCUUAGAACAGUUGUAGCAAAAGAUAAACUAAAAGGGCAUUUAUUCUUACCUAAAAUUAGACAAUGACAAACAUAAUGUGUCACAUAAAAGAUUAGAAGUAUGGCUUACCUCUUGUCCUUUAACAUACCUGUUAGAAGAGGGGGAGAUGUAGAUCUGGUUAUAGAUUAAGGAAUACAUCAUAGCUAGGGUACUCGAACGCACAUCAGCACAUCCCACAGCUAGGUUUCAAACCUACCUUCCUCCCACACUCUGGGUAUCCUUCAAAUGCUAUCUCUCAUACACACAGACUGAAAGGAAUCUCUUGAGCAACUUAGGAAGCCCAUGUACUUACUGUCUUUGUGCCAAUGUACCUACAAUUCAAGAAGUCACAGGUCCUGUUAAAUGUGAUUACAUUCUGUUCCCAAGCAAAGAUUUAUGCACCAUACCAGCUUCUCACAAUGGCACAAUUACAAUGAAACACUGUGUUGCCCAUAUUGUUGGGGGGAAAAGUUGCUAUUCUCGUUCUAUGAUUGAUGAUAGGGAGAACACGCAUGCAUAAACAGAGCAUAUACAUGCAGAAAGUUUCAUUUAACCACGGGCUAGAUGAAAUGCAUUUCUUAUAAACGCUACAUACACACAGACACAUACACAAAUUAUUGGCUCUGUCUCCUGAGCAUAUUUGAAAACUGAAGGAUAUUGGAACACAGCUUGCCACAACCGGAAUUAUCAAAAGAAACUGCCAACCUAAAAACAUAACAUUUUAAGGAAGUCCAAAAAUAUAUCACUUUAACUAUGGAUUUUUGUUAAGUUUGCCUAGAAUAGAACCUCUCCUUUAUCCUGGGGAACAGAUGCUGUGGCUUCUAUAGGUUAACAUUAAUGUUAUAAACCAAUCAACAAGAUAAUGUCCUCCCAAACCAAAGAAUUCACCGAAAACCACGACAAGCCAAUCAUACCCCAAAUCAGCUAUAUAAGUUUUAGGCAUGGAAAAACAGUUAAACCCAGUAGAGCUUUCUCUGCUGGGCUUUCAGAGUUAAAAGGUAGUACCCUCUGCAACAUUUUUGUUCCAUUGCGAUAUUGAUCCACGGAUGCCAGGCUUGGUGACACACAAUGGGCAUUCAAACCACAGUCAGUCUUAGCAAAUUAGGUAAAUGAACGAUCAUUUGAUGGUAUUCUAUUGUUGCUAUUGUAAUCACAGCAAUUUUCACUGGUAAUGGUGCUUCGUGCUGAAGUGCAGUUUUCACAGGAUAAUUGUGAAAGAUAUCGAAAGAUUUCAGGAUGCAGCAUCUGGCUUUAAAAGCUCUUCACAUUCAAAUUGGCAUUUUACUUUAUCUUGAAAAUUUAUUAGAGAUUCAGAUCAUGCCGGUUUAAAUGGAAAGGUGAAAGCAGGGUAAUUUCAUUCUAUGAAUUAUUCAGUCUCAGGCUGGUGAAAUUGCCAUCCAUGAACUGAUGCUCUGACAGUCUCUUUUGCAGAGCCUCCAUUAUGCUUGUCAUUUUUAUUUCUUUAUCUACGAUCUCUUUUUCAGUUCCUGAGCUCGUCCCUUAGGGCUCAGCUUCACAAACCAAGUAUUUCAAAUUGGCAAUAACCUAAAUGUGCUGCUGUCUCAAAUCGCGGUCUCCACAGGCUGUCUUUUCCAAAUCAUUAAAACCCACAUCCAUGAUGAUGUCUUGUGAGGCUCUUCACUCAGAUGAAUUAAAACAUACACACACAUGCACACACAUGGAGGAAACAAAAAGAGGAGGGCAUCAUAUCGGAGAAGAGUUAUGCUCCUGUAACAAUCGAGAAGAUAAAGGGAGGCUUUGUGCUGGCUCCUUUGUUGUCAAUGUGACCCAUUCUAGCUGCAUAGCAUCACGCAGAAAGAGACAACCGCUAAAGCAGGCUGACUUAGCACCCUGAUUUCCAGCAAUAGCAGAUCAAGGACUCACUGCUUUGCGGAUAGACUGAUCCAUAGAAAUAUAGUCUGAGAGACCAAGCACAAUUAAUAGCUAUUUAGGAAAAGGAAAGAAGCAAGAAAAUUGGAUAACCAAAAUUGGGAGUCUUUCUUUCUCCCCGGCACCCACUGACACAGACUGCAAUCCCAGAGAUUCUCCACUUGAUGGCUGGUUGUGUCAUUGCUAGUCGACUGCUGCCCUGCAUCCAGAAAGGACUGGGAUUGAUUUAGGUCAGUGAGUCUGGCUUCUCCUUUAAAACCUUGCUCUAAGUGAGGCAAGCGAGAGUCUGCACCAGCCCCUACGGCCAGUAUCUUAUGUGAGCUGGGACAGUUAGACAGCUUCAGAGCUGGUGAAGUUGGCUGCAAAGGCCCCAGUCAGAGAGAUAAGUGACAGAGAACAUCGGCUCCUCUGUGAUAGACUUCCUAUUCCUGCGGGUAUAGCAGCGUGGCAUAAGAGACUAUUCAUACAAAAAAAAAGUGGUAGGAAACCAACCGUUCUCCUUCAGAGGCAGUUUGGGUACAAGGCUCCAAGUAAUACCUGCUCAGCUGAAAAUUCAUGCUGCCAAGUUAGAAACCAUCGUGCACAUCCAGGCUGCAUCUCUGCUCCUGGCUUAACAGAGGCAAUCACUCCUGGUUUAGGAAAGGACCGACACUCAGGACAAAAUAGAAUGGGAACCACCAUAUUGCUUUGUGCCUAGUUCUAUGAGUCUGCCUUGCCGCACUGCAGCAGGAAGAGCUAGCUGGGUGGUAGUUGUGAUAAUGUGGAAAGCAGCAGUUCUAUGACAGAGCAGUCAGCUGACUUCUACUGUGUUAUCCUUCAAUGUCCUCUACAGGAUAAGGCCAAUUUCUAAGGUAGCACACCAAGGAUGACCUUGCAUGCAAAAGCUGAUUUGACGAAAACAGCCUCUCCUGUACCCACUGCUGGCAGGCAUCCCCUCCCAUACCUAGUAGUACUUCUGGUGUUUUCUCAAGCAUAGAUUUUUUUGUCUUUUUUUUUUUAAACCCACAGCCCUGAGGACUUAACUCUUUCUGUCCUGCUUUGCAAAGCCUAAACAUGUUCCCUGGGAUGCCUUUUGCCAUGUUGAGAUCAGGGUACUUGCUAAUCUGGUCAGUGGCUGUUGCAGAGGGAAAAUUACAUAAGGAUUUCCUUGCCAGUUUUGAUUUCCGAAAACCGCAAACCUCCGGAAAGAUGGAGAUGUCACCGUAAUCUACUUGUGUCCAGCAACUAACAAGUGAAUAGUACCUGAUGGCAUGGCAGCAAGCAUAGGAAAAGCUUUAAGACUGGCGAGACCUUCACCCCUCAUGAAGAUACCAGCUGAGUGCUGAUAGGGAGACAGCUGAAAGAAUAAACCCCGGACAGAACUGGAGAUGUGACGGCCAGUUGUGCCAAGGAGAAGAUGACAAACUUGUUUUUGAUGUUGCCCACUUCCUCUGCUGAUGCCCAGUCCUGAAUGUCUUCAGCUUGCCAUCCCGUGCUGAGCAAAGUUCUCCGGCAGAGACCUGACCAAGCCCUCCAUAUCCUGUUCACAUUUUUCAUCUCAACAAUCUUCAGAUGGCACCAGAGGAUUAAUUGCCUAAAUACAUGAGCAAGAUUGUUGAGAAGCUUUGUAGUGAUGGCAAUAACAUUGGCUGAUGAUUGAAGUUCAUGCAACCUGGAAGUCUUCAGAUUUGUUCGAUGUGUCCAGGUAUUGUGGUGCUACUGAGAUCAGUUAUAAGAGACUUCAAUGACCAUCAAGUAUGAUUGUAGUAGUAAUUGGACAGAAAAAAACAAACAGUUCCAAAUGAAAAAAAAAAAAGAACCUACACAUAUAGGGGUAGGUCUUUAUGGCAAUUAUCAGAAAGAGUAAGAUGCUCCUUUCAGAAGGAUGUCAUUAAUAAAAUCUAAUUAUAUAUCAUGCAUGUAAAUCAAAGUGCCUACUUCUUCGAUAAGAAGCAAUGAAAUAGGGGCAGCUAGGUGGUGCAGUGGAUAGAGCACCGGCCCUGGAGUCAGGAGGACCUGAGUUCAAAUUCGGCCUCAGACA